UUUUAGAAGCAUCUACUUUCUUUUGGUCAAGAAUCUGAACUCUUAAAAUGUUUCUUUGAAGAUAUUUUCUAGGUGACAUAGGACUUUGGGUUUUAGAAGCAUCUACUUUCUUUGGUUUUAGAAGUGGUAAAUGGUGUUUUGAUGUCAUUUGAUGCAACUCAAAUGGUGCUGCGAGCUUGAUGCGGUUUGGAAACUGGGCCCACCAUAUGGGACUGAUUUUAUUUUAUUUUUCUGGAAAAUGGCACCUGCUGUGGUGAAUGACAUUCAACCCAUGCCUAGACAUAAACACAAUGCUCUACUUCAACUCUACUGUGGUAAUAACUUGCAUCUCUCGCAACCAAAUCCUCAUGCCAAAUGCACACUUGAUAUUGUUUUUAAGUUUAUUCUGAGUACUUGCUUUCUUUGAAACAAACUGCAGUUUAUGGUAGCUAUUCAUGUAUGGUUGUUGAAUGGAUGUAUCCUAGAUGAUGUUUUCUUCUUCUGUUUCCAAAAUUGCAGCAUCAUAUAUUAGUUGAAAGAUAUAAAAACAGGGGAAAUUGUUGCUCCGAAAGAGAUAUUAAUAAGUUCUUUAUCAAAGGAGGAAGUAAACGAUGUAAUAGGUGAAAUUACAAUUUUAAGUAGACUUGGUCAUAAAAACGUGAUUCCUUUGAAGGAGAUUGUAACUUCUACAGAUUUUCGUAGAGAAAUUGACAGGGACAAUCGAGGAAAUCCAGGUGUAUUUCUCAACAUGGCAUCCAAUUUUGACCUAUGAGAUUGUGAUGGGAUUCAAGGGUGUUUUCAUUAUUUUAAUGACGUAAAAAAAGUCCAUUUCCUUCACUAAACUGACCCUUGGAAAUUAGGUAGUUACCGAUUUUCAUUGUCUGUGUUAUAUGAAACAACUAUUGGAUGGGCUCUGUUAUUGCCAUGCUAAUCAAGUGCUUCAUUGUGACAUCAAAGGUUUGUCAUCAAAUACUUAGUUGGAUCUUUUUCUUGGUCAGGAUUUUAUUUUUUUGCAGCUUCAAUGAUAUCUAUUCUACAUGUAUUUGCGCAACACAUCACAUUCUCAUCAAUAAUGAGGGAUGUUUAAAACUUGCAUAUUUUAGCCUUUCAGGCUGGUGCCCCAGUGAUGACAUCAAUGAAUUUAAAUUUGAGGUUACUUCUUUGUAGCAUAGGUA